rnacentral:rRNA from 1 species
AUGAGGUGCGGCGCGUUGCAUGAAGAUUGCCCGGAUGGUUUGUUUGGCCCUCUGAGCGGUGUAGAUGUAAUUUUUAUUAUGAUUGAGGUCCUUUGUAUUUUUGGCGAACAAAAGAAAAAUGUGUGUAUGCUGUUUGGCUCAGCAUAUUGCUGCCGGAAUCAACUUUAUGAUCUAUUCCGAUUUAAGAAGAAAAUAGAAACUCUGUUUGAUGCUUGCUCGGAUAACCAGAAGGGAAAUGCUUGUUUUUCCAGCCGCCAUAAAAGCUUCGGAGAAAAUCGCACCUCAGAAUAUGUUGGCCACACAACUACAAGCUAUUUUUCGUCCUAUAUAUGCUGCCAUAUACUAUAUUAUGUACUCCCUCCAUCCCGUAAUAUAAGAACGUUUUUGGCACUAGUGUAG